rnacentral:rRNA from 1 species
CCUGCAUGAAGCUGGAAUUGCUAGUAAUCGCGGAUCAGCAAGCCGCGGUGAAUACGUUCCCGGGCCUUGUACACACCGCCCGUCACACCAUGAGAGUCGGGAACACCCGAAGUCCGUAGUCUAACCGCAAGGGGGGCGCAGCCGAAGGUGGGUCCGGUAAUUGGGGUGAAGUCGUAACAAGGUAUC